ACGGAGGGUGCAAGCGUUAUCCGGAAUCACUGGGUUUAAAGGGUGCGUAGGCGGCCUGACAAGUCAGAGGUGAAAUGCACGAGCUUAACUGGUGAAUUGCCUUUGAAACUGUCAAGCUAGAAUUAUGUUGAGGUUAGCGGAAUGAGUCAUGUAGCGGUGAAAUGCAUAGAUAUGACUUAGAACACCAAUUGCGUAGGCAGCUAGCUAGGCAUUAAUUGACGCUGAGGCACGAAAGCGUGGGGAGCGAACAGG
rnacentral:rRNA from 1 species